GACUAGGGACCGGAAGAGGUGAGGGGUACUCCAGGGGUAGGAGUGAAAUCCUGUAAUCCUUGGGGGACCACCUGUGGCGAAGGCGCCUCACCAGAACGGCUCCGACAGUGAGGGACGAAAGCUGGGGGAGCAAACCGGAUUAGAUACCCGGGUAGUCCCAGCCGUAAACGAUGUGCGUUAGGUGUAUCGGUGACCACGAGUCACCGAGGUGCCGAAGAGAAAUCGUGAAACGUACCGCCUGGGAAGUACGGUCGCAAGGCUGAAACUUAAAGGAAUUGGCGGGGGAGCACCACAACAGGUGGAGCCUGCGGUUUAAUCGGACUCAACGCCGGGAAACUCACCAGAUAAGACAGCUGAAUGAUAGUCGGGCUGAAGACUCUACUUGACUAGCUG
rnacentral:rRNA from 1 species